UACGUAGGGUGCGAGCGUUGUCCGGAAUUAUUGGGCGUAAAGAGCUCGUAGGCGGUCUGUCGCGUCGAAAUGUGAAACCCGGGGCUCAACUCCGGGCUUGCAUUCGAUACGGGCAGGCUAGAGUUCGGUAGGGGAGUCUGGAAUUCCUGGUGUAGCGGUGAAAUGCGCAGAUAUCAGGAGGAACACCGGUGGCGAAGGCGGGACUCUGGGCCGAUACUGACGCUGAGGAGCGAAAGCGUGGGGAGCGAACAGG
rnacentral:rRNA from 1 species